rnacentral:rRNA from 1 species
CCUUAAUACAUGCAAGUCGAACGAACUCUGGUAUUGAUUGGUGCUUGCAUCAUGAUUUACAUUUGAGUGAGUGGCGAACUGGUGAGUAACACGUGGGAAACCUGCCCAGAAGCGGGGGAUAACACCUGGAAACAGAUGCUAAUACCGCAUAACAACUUGGACCGCAUGGUCCGAGUUUGAAAGAUGGCUUCGGCUAUCACUUUUGGAUGGUCCCGCGGCGUAUUAGCUAGAUGGUGGGGUAACGGCUCACCAUGGCAAUGAUACGUAGCCGACCUGAGAGGGUAAUCGGCCACAUUGGGACUGAGACACGGCCCAAACUCCUACGGGAGGCAGCAGUAGGGAAUCUUCCACAAUGGACGAAAGUCUGAUGGAGCAACGCCGCGUGAGUGAAGAAGGGUUUCGGCUCGUAAAACUCUGUUGUUAAAGAAGAACAUAUCUGAGAGUAACUGUUCAGGUAUUGACGGUAUUUAACCAGAAAGCCACGGCUAACUACGUGCCAGCAGCCGCGGUAAUACGUAGGUGGCAAGCGUUGUCCGGAUUUAUUGGGCGUAAAGCGAGCGCAGGCGGUUUUUUAAGUCUGAUGUGAAAGCCUUCGGCUCAACCGAAGAAGUGCAUCGGAAACUGGGAAACUUGAGUGCAGAAGAGGACAGUGGAACUCCAUGUGUAGCGGUGAAAUGCGUAGAUAUAUGGAAGAACACCAGUGGCGAAGGCGGCUGUCUGGUCUGUAACUGACGCUGAGGCUCGAAAGUAUGGGUAGCAAACAGGAUUAGAUACCCUGGUAGUCCAUACCGUAAACGAUGAAUGCUAAGUGUUGGAGGGUUUCCGCCCUUCAGUGCUGCAGCUAACGCAUUAAGCAUUCCGCCUGGGGAGUACGGCCGCAAGGCUGAAACUCAAAGGAAUUGACGGGGGCCCGCACAAGCGGUGGAGCAUGUGGUUUAAUUCGAAGCUACGCGAAGAACCUUACCAGGUCUUGACAUACUAUGCAAAUCUAAGAGAUUAGACGUUCCCUUCGGGGACAUGGAUACAGGUGGUGCAUGGUUGUCGUCAGCUCGUGUCGUGAGAUGUUGGGUUAAGUCCCGCAACGAGCGCAACCCUUAUUAUCAGUUGCCAGCAUUAAGUUGGGCACUCUGGUGAGACUGCCGGUGACAAACCGGAGGAAGGUGGGGAUGACGUCAAAUCAUCAUGCCCCUUAUGACCUGGGCUACACACGUGCUACAAUGGAUGGUACAACGAGUUGCGAACUCGCGAGAGUAAGCUAAUCUCUUAAAGCCAUUCUCAGUUCGGAUUGUAGGCUGCAACUCGCCUACAUGAAGUCGGAAUCGCUAGUAAUCGCGGAUCAGCAUGCCGCGGUGAAUACGUUCCCGGGCCUUGUACACACCGCCCGUCACACCAUGAGAGUUUGUAACACCCAAAGUCGGUGGGGUAACCUUUUAGGAACCAGCCGCAUAAAAGGGGGACCG